UCAUUCUUCAUGGUCAGCCAAAGCAAAGAACAAAGGGAAAAGAAUAAGAACAAACCCUAGAGAGGAAAAUUCAAGAGAAAAUUGUUGAAUUUCAAGGAACCAAGCAAUCAAAGGUAAGAUUUUUUAAUUUUAGCUUAAGAUCUAUCUUACCCAUGCUUUUUUUUUCAUUUUCUAUGGAUGAAACACAGGUUUCCAUGAGGGAAUACAUGCUGGCCGAACAUUGGGAGAGAGGUUUUGAUGAUGAAUUUUGCUAGAUUUCAUGAUAUCUUAAUGUUUUUAGUUGUUUGAUGAUGUUUGGCAUGAAAAACUAGCAAGAAAAUCACGUGCCCUUCAAAAACCCUCUUUGGCCGAAUUUAUUAGGUGACAUGUUGAUGAUGGAUUUUGAUGUGUUUCAUCUUAUUUAGCUUGUAGUUGAUGAUUUAUGGUAUCGGAUAUCGAAAUCGAAAUAAAUUUCGAUUACGGUGAAUUAAGUCACAAUUAAGCUCAUUGAGGUACUUUGGUGUAUUUGGAAUAUUGGAAGUGUAAUGAAGAUAUUUGGAGUUGAAUUUGAUGUUUUGGCUAAUUAAACAGGGCAUAGUCCGAGUUAGGUAGAAUGCCAAUUCAAUCCGAUCAUAAUUGAACCCACGUAGAACACUGUCUUUAAGUGAUUAUUCAGACAAUUCUCAUUCAAUUUCAUGCAUUCAUAUAGAGCCUGAAAUAUUUUUAUAACAGUUUGACACAAAUAUAUUGAAUUACGUGUCGUGUAUUAUGUAUAGGUGGUGAGCCCUCUGAUAAGGGUAAAGACAUCGUACCCAAGGACCAAGAAUAAGAGUACUUUAAACUCCCGCCAUUGUGAGUAAUCAAAUGUUCAUUUUAACUAUCUAAAGUAGUUUAUAUUCAUUUUUAUGAUUUUAAAGAAAAAUGAGUUUAAAUUGUAAAUUAUUAUGUUUUAAAAUUGAAGUGUUGAUUAAACAAAAUGAGAUUUAUAACUUGUUUUGAAAUUGAAUACUGGUUUUAGAAAUUGAGUAAGUGGAGACUGUAUACUCGUGUUAUGCAUAUGUUUUGACAUAUGGUUUGAAUUGAUGGCUUAUGACAAUGUGAUGGCAAGCAUGGUUGGAUUUGUGUUUGUGUGGAAUAUAUGAACUGUUUUGCUUGGCCUUGACAGGCUAGUAAUAUUAUAUUAGCCAUGUCAUGCUAUCGGAAAUUUUAUUGAAUUGGUGGGUUAUUUGAUUAGCUUACUGUAGUGGGCGAGUUUCCGUGGACCAGCCUAUGAGAGGGGCACGGUAAACCCUCGUUAUAUUUUACCUGAUUAUGAGAGGUGCGGAGGGUAUCUCCUAAGGUAAAGUUAGAGUUCACCUCACGCCGAACCACCACAUAAGGGUGAAACUCAGCCAACUCCAAGGAAUGACUGUGCUUUUAAAUGUAAAAGAAUAAGUAUUAUAUUCAUAUGUUAUUCUAAUAGCCUUGGCGGACUCGGUUGGAUGCCCUGACGCAAGUUGUCACCGAGUGCAAGUUUUGGCACGAGCCAAGUUUUUACGAGAAUCAUAAGCCUUGUUGAUUUUGAUGAAAUGAAAUUGAUUUAUAUGGGUGGAAAUGAGAUUUGAUGUUAUGAAUCACAUUAUACUAAGAUGUUUUAAAUUAUCUCUAUUUACUCGGUUUUAGAUGUUAUAUAUGAAAUUUGCUUACUCACUGGGUUUAUAAGAGCUCACCCCUCCUUUUCACCCAUUUCAGGCUCAGGAUAGUCUGUAGACAGCCGAUUUUGUCGAAGGUUGCUUUUGGAUUUGCAUCCUUAGAAAUCGAAGGUCCACAGUCUUGUAUGUUUUCAGUUAUUUUAGGG
rnacentral:lncRNA from 1 species